GUAGUCUUGUGACUACCAGUCUAUUGCAUCAUAACCCUCUGCAGCACACUCGUACGCCCCAGCUGCUCAAAUGACCUUUGACCCCGCCUUCAGAUUACACACCGCAGAAGGUGUCUGUGCCUCCAUGCAAUGGAAAUGGGAGAGACUCUGAGAGGGAUGUGGGAGUGUCCCUGAAGUAAAUGAAUAGAAAUGUGGGCGUGUCCCUGAGGUAAACUUAUACAAAUGUAGGCGUGUCCCCAGGUACAUGUAUAGAAAUGUGGGCGUGUCCAUGAAGUAAAUGAACAUAAAUGUGGGUGUCUCACUGAGGUAAAUGUAUAGAAAUGUGGACGUGUCACUGAAAUAAAUGUAUAGAAAGAUUUUCUAGGUUUUCUGUAUAUCAUGGAAACUUGGAUUACUCCAGGAGUUCGGAGCCUGUUUUCUGAACUGGUACCAUCUGACUGUAAUUUUUUAUUUUUUUCUAACUCUCCUCGUUCUGUUGGUCGAGAGGGACGACUGGCUUCAGUUUUUAAACGGAAUUAUUAAUACUGUCGGAUGCUGGUGACGGAUGUUUGUUUGAGUUCUGAACUUCAGUUAUUUGUAUUGGAGUUGGAUAAUCCAGUGGUGAUUUCAGGCAUUUAUCGACCACCUGAACCACACAAAGACUUUUUAAGGGGAAUUAUGCCCAACUUUAAUCGGGGAUACAUAUAUGUGUGUUGUCGAAGAAUUUCUGACCCUUGUUGACUCUUUUUACUUGGUGCAGCUUGUGAAUGCUCCCCCUCAUAUUCAGGUGAUCGGACCUACUGUUCAAAAGAUCACGAACAGCUGCCUUGAAAUGGCGACGGUACCAGAUGACAUGAAGCAUGCUGUUGUCCAUCCACUUCCUGAAAAGCCAAAUUUACAUCCAACGGUUCUAACAAAUUUUAGUCUUUCUUCUAUGUCCAAAAUGUGGGCGUGUCAACGAAGUAAAUGUAUAAAAAUGUGGGCGUGUCAAUGAGGUAAAUGUAUAGAAAUGUGGGCGUGUCACUGAGGUAAAUGUAUAGAAAUGUGGGCGUGUCACCGAGGUAAAUGUAUAAAAAUGUGGGCGUGUCACUGAGGUAAAUGUAUAAAAAUGUGGGCGUGUCACUGAGGUAAAUGUAUAAAAAUGUGGGCGUGUCACUGAGGUAAAUGUAUAAAAAUGUGUGUGUCACUGAGGUAAAUGUAUAGAAAUGUGGGCGUGUCCCUGAAGUAAGCAAAUAGAAAUGUGAAGGUGUGACAGGAGUCAAGAUGGCGCCGAUGGGUGUGGCCUGCUCUCCGCUGCCUGUUGUGUUUGCCCAUUUGUUUUUCCCUUUUGAAUUAAAAUAAUAAAGCUACCUUUGUUGGACCAGGUGUUGGUCAAGGAUGCGUGAUGGGCGUGGCCGAGGGAAAGCCGCACCCAUCUGUCUCCUCAAUAUCGAGAUCAUUUUAAUGCAGUCUGAGAGACAUUAGCGGCGCAGCCAGGAAUGGAAAAGUAAAAAGCUUUUCAUUAGUCUGACACAAAGCCAUCGAUUUGCCAGAACAGAACGAACAGAGAAAACAAAGAGCAGAAGAAAGAAGGGGAAUAGAAGAAAGAAUGAGAGAAAAGUGGGGAAGAAAAGAAGAGAGGAGAAUAGAAAGAAACGAAGACAGUGGAGCGGAGGGACAGAACAGUGAGGAAUGAAGAGCCGAGAAAGAGAAGGAGAGAAGAAAAGGAAAGAAUGGAGCAUGAAGGAAGGAAGGAAGGGAGAGGAAGAAGACAAGAGGAGAGAGACAGAGAGAGAGAGAGUGAGAGAGACAGAGAGAGAGAGAGUGAGAGAGACGGAGUGAGAGAGACAGAGAGAGAGAGUGAGAGUGAGAGAGAGAGUGAGAGAGACAGAGAGAGAGUGAGAAUGAGAGAGAGUGAGAGAGACGGAGAGAGAGAGACAGAGAGAGAGAGAGUGAGAGAGACGGAGUGAGAGAGACAGAGAGAGAGAGUGAGAGUGAGAGAGAGAGAGAGUGAGAGAGACAGAGAGAGUGAGAGUGAGAGAGACGGAGGGAGAGAGACAGAGAGAGAGAGUGAGAGUGAGAGAGAGAGUGAGAGAGAGUGAGAGAGAUGGAGAGAGAGAGAGACAGAGAGAGAGAGAGAGAGAAUCCUCCCCUGAGCAGGACGAUUAUGAGCCGGCUUUCCAUCACACACCACACGACAAGCGGAGACAAGUUCUGUCCAGACUAAUGAUGCCAGGGUCACUGGGGGUGUGUGUGUGUGUGUGUGUAUCAGGCGGUAAGGAAGCAUGAACCGAUACUAUACAGUGUCCUAUACAGUCUAAAAUGAGUGUCACAUUAUUUAGGAAAUCCCGCUAAAUAGAUUAGCAGUGGGGGAGGUGCACACACACACACACACACACACACAUAUAUAUAAUACACACACUCACACCCCUGUCAUAUAUGAAUAUGAUAUAAUCUCAUUAAACGUAUAUAAAGGUAUUAUGAAGGA
ensembl:lncRNA